rnacentral:misc_RNA from 1 species
AAGUCGUAACAAGGUUUCCGUAGGUGAACCUGCGGAAGGAUCAUUAACACAAUUGUACUGUGAUAAAUUCCGUUGAAUUCUCACGAAUUCAAUGGCAUCCACCCCAUUAUUGACGAACUUUUAAGAUGUUAAAACUAAAAACGUAGAGCUAGUCUUUAUUUUUUUAACAUUCUAACCCUUUUCUAUACCCACACAUUUAAACCCCUUUUACAACAUGUCUUAGACUGAAAUGAAAAUUUUCUAUCAAAAAAUUGAUAAAAACAACUUUUAACAACGGAUAUCUUGGCUCUC